UAAGGACCGGUUCUUGUCCAAUCACCGAAGUUAAGCAAUGUUGAGCCUGAUCAGUAUCUAGAUGGGUGACCACUUGGGAAUAGGA